UACGAACUGUGCAAACGUUAUUCGGAAUCACUGGGCUUAAAGGGUGCGUAGGCGGCUUGCUAAGUAGGGUGUGAAAUCCCCCGGCUUAACCGGGGAAUGGCGCCCUAAACUGGCGAGCUGGAGUGAGAUAGGGGUGUGCGGAACUUCCGGUGGAGCGGUGAAAUGUGUUGAUAUCGGAAGGAACGCCGGUGGCGAAAGCGGCACACUGGAUCUCAACUGACGCUGAGGCACGAAAGCCAGGGGAGCGAACGGG
rnacentral:rRNA from 1 species